AGAGUUUGAUCCUGGCUCAGGAUGAACGCUGGCGGCAUGCCUAACACAUGCAAGUCGAACGAGGGUAGCAAUACUCGAGUGGCGAACGGGUGAGUAACACGUGAGCAACCUGCCUUACACAACGGGAUACCUACUGGAAACAGUAGUUAAUACGGUAUAAGACCACAGUACCGCAUGAUACAGUGGUAAAAGAUUUAUCGGUGUAAGAUGGGCUCGCGGCGCAUUAGCUAGUUGGAGAGGUAACGGCUCACCAAGGCGACGAUGCGUAGCCGACCUGAGAGGGUGAUCGGCCACAUUGGGACUGAGAUACGGCCCAGACUCCUACGGGAGGCAGCAGUGGGGAAUAUUGGGCAAUGGAGGAAACUCUUACCCAGCAAUGCCGCGUGAAUGAAGAAGGUCGUAAGAUUGUAAAGUUCUUUAGUCAGGGACAAAGAAAGUGAUGGUACCUGAAGAAUAAGCUCCGGCUAACUACGUGCCAGCAGCCGCGGUAAUACGUAGGGAGCGAGCGUUAUCCGGAAUGACUGGGCGUAAAGGGUGUGUAGGUGGUUUGACAAGUUAGAAGUGUAAUACCUAGGCUUAACUUAGGUGCUGCUUUUAAAACUGUUAGACUUGAGUGCAGUAGAGGUUAGUGGAAUUCCUAGUGUAGCGGUGGAAUGCGUAGAUAUUAGGAGGAACACCAGAGGCGAAGGCGGCUAACUGGACUGUAACUGACACUGAGACACGAAAGCGUGGGGAGCAAACAGGAUUAGAUACCCUGGUAGUCCACGCCGUAAACGAUGGAUACUAGUUGUAGGAAGAUCGACGCUUUCUGCGACGCAGUUAACACGAUAAGUAUCCCGCCUGGGGAGUACGGCCGCAAGGUUGAAACUCAAAUGAAUUGACGGGGACCCGCACAAGCAGCGGAGCAUGUGGUUUAAUUCGAAGCAACGCGAAGAACCUUACCAAGACUUGACAUCGUAUGACCGCCAUAGAGAUAUGGAAUCCCGCAAGGGCAUAUAGACAGGUGGUGCAUGGUUGUCGUCAGCUCGUGUCGUGAGAUGUUAGGUUAAGUCCUGCAACGAGCGCAACCCUUAUGACUAGUUGCCAAUAUCUAGUUAGGAACUCUAGUCAGACUGCCGAGGUUAACUCGGAGGAAGGUGGGGAUGACGUCAAAUCAUCAUGCCCCUUACGUCUUGGGCUACACACGUGCUACAAUGGCUACUACAAAGAGCUGCGAACCUGUAAAGGCAAGCGAAUCUCAAAAAAGUAGUCUCAGUUCGGACUGUGGGCUGCAACCCGCCCACACGAAGUUGGAGUUGCUAGUAAUCCCGAAUCAGAAUGUCGGGAUGAAUGCGUUCCCGGGUCUUGUACACACCGCCCGUCACGCCAUGGGAGUUGGGAGUACCCAAAGUCGGCAAUUCAACCGCAAGGAGAUAACCGCCUAAGGUAAGACCAAUGACUGGGGUGAAGUCGUAACAAGGUAGCCGUAUCGGAAGGUGCGGCUGGAUCACCUCCUU
rnacentral:rRNA from 1 species